rnacentral:rRNA from 1 species
GACGAACGCUGGCGGCGCGCCUAACACAUGCAAGUCGAACGAGCGAGAGAGAGCUUGCUUUCUCGAGCGAGUGGCGAACGGGUGAGUAACGCGUGAGGAAUCUGCCUCAAAGAGGGGGACAACAGUUGGAAACGACUGCUAAUACCGCAUAAGCCCACGGUGCCGCAUGGCACAGAGGGAAAAGGAGUAAUCCGCUUUGAGAUGGCCUCGCGUCCGAUUAGCUAGUUGGUGAGGUAACGGCCCACCAAGGCGACGAUCGGUAGCCGGACUGAGAGGUUGAACGGCCACAUUGGGACUGAGACACGGCCCAGACUCCUACGGGAGGCAGCAGUGGGGAAUAUUGCACAAUGGGGGAAACCCUGAUGCAGCGACGCCGCGUGGAGGAAGAAGGUCUUCGGAUUGUAAACUCCUGUUGUUGGGGAAGAUAAUGACGGUACC